rnacentral:tRNA from 1 species
GCCGAGAUGGCGGAAUUAGGCAGACGCUUCAGACUUAAAAUCUGAUGGGCCGAAGGGUCCGUGCGGGUUCGAGCCCCGCUCUCGGUA